CUCCCGAAUACCUCCCGAACACGAUCUUCAAUCUCCUCCAGAACCCCUCUCACACAAACCUCAUCUCACGCCCUCUCCAUCCAAAUCCUCUUCGACGAACCCCUCCGCGAACCUCUCCUCCGAACUCCUCUUCGCCGAACAAACCUCAUCUCACGCCCUCUUCCUCGACGAGCCCACCACCGGGCUCGACAACACCACCGCCUUCUUCAUGGUGGAGACACUGAAGCACAUCGUGGUGGACAAAUGCACCGGCACGCAACAAAAUGCAAGGCCUGUGACAAGACUGUCUACCUCGUGGAUCAGCUCACCGCCGACGAAAUCGUCUUCCAUAAGUCCUGCUUAAGUGCAAUCAUUGCAAAGGAACCCUCACGCUAAGUACAUAUUCAUCCAUGGAAGGUGUUUUGUAUUGCAAGCCUCACUUUGAACAACUCUUCAAGGAAUCUGACAACUUCCAUAAGAAUUUUCAGUCAUUUGCAAAAUCUGCUGAUAAAGCUCUAGAACUGGUUAGUAAAGAUCUGCUAAAUACUGAUUUCUUCAGUGCUUAUUUUAAAUCACUCAUUCUUUUUUGUAUCAACUAGAUUGUAACACCUCCCUAUAAUUGAUUAAAUUUCUGUUGUGAAAUUUUUUCAACCAGAAGCCCCAAGCAGUUUAUGUUGUGAAAAUCACACAUUUACUUCAUAUUAGCUUUGAAAUCCCGAGUUGAAUAUUUUAAACUUCCAAGGCUUGAAAAAUAUAUCGUCUAACCCUAAAUUUUAUCUUCAGCUCACUUGCAAAUUAGUUUGUAGUAGAUUCUAUAUCAUCUUUUCGCAGUGUAGAUUACUUUGUGAAAAUCACAAUUUUAUCUCAUCUUUAGCUUCGAGAUAUUCCAAGUUGAACAUUCCAAACUUUCAGGUGUCUGAGAUGUAUUUUUUUAGCCCUAAAUUUUACUACAAGAAGAACUACCUUAUGGUGCUGUUGUCAUUUUUUAAACAAGAAACAAGCCAUUAAUAAAUUAGUCAAGCGCCAAAGGAAGAUGAGUGACUCCUAACAAUGAGACUCUUAACUUUACCCAUCUCUGCAUUCGCCAAGUGUGAGCAUCUCCUUGGUGGAAGAGAGGUACAUUGCAAUGCCAUCAAAACUAAACAGAUUGACUUAGUUUUGCGUGCCACUCUCGUCGAUUUCUAUACUAAAUGUGGUGAAUUGAAAUCAUCAGUCAUGUUGCAUGAUGAAUGCCAAGUGAAGAGCAGCACCAUAUGGAGCAUCAUGAUGUGGGGCCUUAUUCAGAAUGGUGAGUUCUUGGAAGCUGUCAACGUGUUUGAAAGAAUGCAAAAGUCUGUAAUUAAGCCUUGUAAGGAUGCUCUAUGGGCCUUAGUUGCUGCAUAUACUAACUUGGGAGCUUUGUUGUUGGGUAGAGGAGUUCAUAAUCUUAUGUAGGCUGUGAUUGUGUAAAUAGAAUUUUUUUUGUAAAUAUUAUAGUUUUUGUAAA